rnacentral:rRNA from 1 species
UUUGACUGGGGCGGUCUCCUCCUAAAGAGUAACGGAGGAGCACGAAGGUUGGCUAAUCCUGGUCGGACAUCAGGAGGUUAGUGCAAUGGCAUAAGCCAGCUUGACUGCGAGCGUGACGGCGCGAGCAGGUGCGAAAGCAGGUCAUAGUGAUCCGGUGGUUCUGAAUGGAAGGGCCAUCGCUCAACGGAUAAAAGGUACUCCGGGGAUAACAGGCUGAUACCGCCCAAGAGUUCAUAUCGACGGCGGUGUUUGGCACCUCGAUGUCGGCUCAUCACAUCCUGGGGCUGAAGUAGGUCCCAAGGGUAUGGCUGUUCGCCAUUUAAAGUGGUACGCGAGCUGGGUUUAGAACGUCGUGAGACAGUUCGGUCCCUAUCUGCCGUGGGCGCUGGAGAACUGAGGGGGGCUGCUCCUAGUACGAGAGGACCGGAGUGGACGCAUCACUGGUGUUCGGGUUGUCAUGCCA